rnacentral:RNase_P_RNA from 1 species
UCUGCAAGCUGCGCUAUCGAUUCUAUUUUUUAUAGGAUAGGAAAGUCCGGACAGCACAGAGCACCGCAUCCCGCUAACGGCGGGACGGCUUGUGUUCUUCGAAAGAAGGAUGACAGGCAAGAGACAGUGCCACAGAAAAUUACCACCGGCUGUUUGCUUGUGGAGACACAAGCAAAGGCAGGCAAGGGUGAAAACGUGAGGUAAGAGCUCACGGUUGUUACAAGAGAUUGUAAUAUUCGGGUAAACCUUGCGGGCUGAAAUGCCACGUAUAGAAGCGUUUGAAGGCUGCUCGCCUGAUGCUUCAGGGUAGGCAGAUUGAGGUAGCCAGUAAUGGCUAUCCCAGAUAAAUGAUAGCCUUGAACAGAAUCCGGCUUACGGGCUUGCAGAAACC